GCUUGUCUCAAAGAUUAAGCCAUGCAUGUCUAAGUAUAAACAACUUUAUACUGUGAAACUGCGUACAGCUCAUUAUAUCAGCAAUUAUUUAUUUGAUGGUUCCUUACUACAUGGAUAACCGUGGUAAUUCUAGAGCUAAUACAUGCGCAAAGUCCCGACUCUCGCGGGGAGGGAUGUAUUUAUUAGAUUCAAAACCAAUGCGGGCUCUGCCCGGUAUUGUGGUGAUUCAUAAUAACUGAUCGAAUCGCAUGGCUUCACGCUGGCGAUAGUUCAUUCAAAUUUCUGCCCUAUCAGCUUGUCGGUAGGAUAAAGGCCUACGGAGGCUAUCACGGGUAACGGAGAAUUAGGGUUCGAUUCCGGAGAGGGAGCCUGAGAAAUGGCUACCACAUCCAAGGAAGGCAGCAGG
rnacentral:rRNA from 1 species